rnacentral:rRNA from 1 species
AUUGAACGCUGGCGGCAGGCUUAACACAUGCAAGUCGAGCGGAGUGAUGGUGCUUGCACUAUCACUUAGCGGCGGACGGGUGAGUAAUGCUUAGGAAUCUGCCUAUUAGUGGGGGACAACAUCUCGAAAGGGAUGCUAAUACCGCAUACGUCCUACGGGAGAAAGCAGGGGAUCACUUGUGACCUUGCGCUAAUAGAUGAGCCUAAGUCGGAUUAGCUAGUUGGUGGGGUAAAGGCCUACCAAGGCGACGAUCUGUAGCGGGUCUGAGAGGAUUGUCCGCCACACUGGGACUGAGACACGGCCCAGACUCCUACGGGAGGUAGCAGUGGGGAAUAUUGGACAAUGGGGGGAACCCUGAUCCAGCCAUGCCGCGUGUGUGAAGAAGGCCUUAUGGUUGUAAAGCACUUUAAGCGAGGAGGAGGCUCUUUUGGUUAAUACCCAAGAUGAGUGGACGUUACUCGCAGAAUAAGCACCGGCUAACUCUGUGCCAGCAGCCGCAGUAA